UGUCUGUUUGGGUGUAUUAGGUCGGGUAUGGUAUUAUGUCUGUUUGGGUGUAUUAGGUCGGGUACGGUAUUAUGUCUGUUUGGGUUAUUAGGUCGGGUACGGUAUUAUGUCUGUUUGGGUGUAUUAGGUCGGGUACGGUAUUAUGUCUGUUUGGUAUGAUAUCAUGCCUGAUUGGAUGUGUAUGGAAUACAUAAAUCUCUGCUUAAUGUUAGUAAAAAUCAAAACUGUAACACAUCAACAUACAUGUACAAGUGUAUUAGCUAAAAAUAUAUUUCCAUCCUUAAAAGUCACACCAUAAUUCAUAGGCAAAAAUGUCCAUGUUUUAAAAUAAUUUUUUUAGUAACUAAAUAAAUAAUUAACAAAGAGGUCCAAUGGGCCUGUAUGAUGACCUGUUAUUUGUUGCUGUUUGCAAUUUCACUUUACAAAUAUGAUUUUCAAAAAUUUCAAAAUUGUGUGAUUUUAAUCUAAAAUCAUUGUAUUAAUAUUCUAACAAGUUGUUUCUUUAAAUUCACAAUGUGUUGUCAUUCAUUAAUUGAUUUUUGGUUAAAUGUAAAAGAAAAAGUCCACCAGAAGUCAUUAUUGUAUAUAAUUUAUUGAUAUGGAUAUAGAGGUUCACAGCCUGCAUCCAUUAUUUUUGUAGUAAAUUAAAUUCAUCAGAAAACAAUCAGUCAAGUUUUUUCCCCCUCUGGCUAACAAAGGUCUAAACAACUCUAAAGUAGAAAGGAUUAAUGUUGACAUUUAAUCAGAAAAACAUUGUGUUCAAGGAUCUUCAAUAAACAAAAUGAGAAUUAAUUAACCUGUACAUGUUUAUCAUUAAAAAUUUGAAGCAUUUUUGCCUUCUUUAACAAUUAGGUCAUCUGGUUAGGAAUUAAAAGACUAAAGAAUUUUAAAAAUAUUGCAUAUGUAUUUCUCUUUAAGAGAUUGAGAGUCUUAAUCAGCAGGUAAUAAUCAAAUAAGUAAAAAUGCAUGUUAGACAAAUGUCAUGUUAUAAGGGGAUGUCAAUGUACAUAUAUGAACCCACAGGGACUUGGCACAUAUCCCAUAUCUAUAGUAUAAGUGCCAUAGUGUCAGGAUUCUAUGCCAUGCCCCUGUGAACUUGCCACCCCUUCCUCGAUAAUUCAAAAAAAAAA